GAUGAACGCUGGCGGCGUGCCUAAUACAUGCAAGUCGAGCGAACGGACGAGAAGCUUGCUUCUCUGAUGUUAGCGGCGGACGGGUGGGUAACACGUGGAUAACCUACCUAUAAGACUGGGAUAACUUCGGGAAACCGGAGCUAAUACCGGAUAAUAUUUUGAACCGCAUGGUUCAAAAGUGAAAGACGGUCUUGCUGUCACUUAUAGAUGGAACCGCGCUGCAUUAGCUAGUUGGUAAGGUAACGGCUUACCAAGGCAACGAUGCAUAGCCGACCUGAGAGGGUGAUCGGCCACACUGGAACUGAGACACGGUCCAGACUCCUACGGGAGGCAGCAGUAGGGAAUCUUCCGCAAUGGGCGAAAGCCUGACGGAGCAACGCCGCGUGAGUGAUGAAGGUCUUCGGAUCGUAAAACUCUGUUAUUAGGGAAGAACAUAUGUGUAAGUAACUGUGCACAUCUUGACGGUACCUAAUCAGAAAGCCACGGCUAACUACGUG
rnacentral:rRNA from 1 species